rnacentral:tRNA from 1 species
GUCAGGAUGGCCGAGCGGUCUGUAAGGCGCCACGUUCAGGUCGCAGUCUCCCCCUGGAGGCGUGGGUUCAAAUCCCAUUUCUGACA